UAGUGUCCCUAUGUGUGCUCCACUCUAAGGACUCUGCAGCAGUACCCUUAAGGGUGGGGUCGGAUUUCAGAGGCGAGUCUAGGAUUGAAGAUAAGACAGUGGAGCCUGCUAUGUAACAGCACCAUCUUUACGUCCUUGGAGCAGGUCGUUUCUCUCAAACCAACCAGCCACACCUUGAGCUGGAGAACCUGGAGAUUGGAGUGAUGGAUCUGAUCAGACUCCUGGGAGAGGAGAUGAGUAACAGGCUGGACCUUGGAUAUUAGAUGAAUCAGUGGAAAUGCAUACAUACUCUGUUCCACUGGAGGAGAAAUGCAUCUCGGAGAGGGAAUUUCACCUUUGACUUCAGUGGGAAUAAGAUUGGGUAGUACCAAGGCCACAUUGAAAUCUACAUACAAUAUAUGGCAAAAUGCCCACCUACCUUGCUCACAGGUUUAUUGUUUGAAGAUGGCUACAUUUUCAAAAACUGGCACAGUUCAUCCUGGCUGUCUUUGAUAGGCUGCAUGUGUCUUCUUUAGAAUGGACAUUCCUGUAGGGCUAUUUUGACAACUGUAGUUUAGUUUCAAUUAUAAUGAGACUAUUACUUAAUUAAAGCACUGCAUUAGCUUUUGUAACAAUAGUUGUCUGAGGAAUACAAGGGCCUAUUAUAGUGCUGAACUAUUACAUCUUUGCUGAGACGUAGAAAAAGGCCAUCACUUUUUGUGAAAAUUCCAAUGUAUGUAUAUUUAUGACUGGCACACUACAGAUUAAGACUACCAUUCAGCAAAGGACUGAAGCUUAUGUUUAACUUUAAGUACAUGUUGCAGUAUUUUGCUGAGUCAGGGCCUAAUGGAAUCACUGUGCAGCCCUUCUGGAUUUGCUCAAUACAAAAGACUACCUGAAGAUAACAUUAUAAAAGCAGAUUGCGGAACAUAAAGCAGAAUAAUAUUUAGGAAAAGACACUCGACUGUAGAAAUAUAGGGUGUCCCUCAGAGAGUACAUACCAUUAGUUCAAAGAAUUUCUCAUCUGACUUUUCAAAGAUGCUGAGUACCUGAUGCUCCAAUUGACCUUAAUAGGAUGUGGAUGAUCAGCACUUCUGAAAUAAGGCCACUGAUUUUUAUAAGGAGAACCUUGGUGUAUAAGCUUUCCAGUAAAACCACAGCCUUACCCUUUGGCAUAACAGCUAACUUGUACCAAAUGAAGCUAAAUUUGGAAUGAAAGUAAUAGAUGGAGAUUCCCCACAUUAUGAAAAAGGAAUAGAAUUGUGUUGCAGGUGGAGGCUAUUCUUUAAAUGAAGGGGGGAAAGCCAAAAGCUUGCUAUAAACAUAGAAAUUGAAUGUUUUAAGAAUACUGCAUGAAAUAAAAUGAUAUUUUGACUGAGUUGCACUGUGGUAGGGAAAGAAAAGAUGUUGGUAAUAGAGUGGAUUAGUUUGUAUGCAUCAUACUGUUGUCAUAAGUAAAACGAGGAUGUGGAGGUUUCAGCAUGGUUUGCGGGGGCACAACAAGGUUACGGCUGUUUCUAUGAUAGUACCUAGUUACAAUAUACCAGUGUGGUUAGUAUGAAGCAUGUAGACUGCAGAGACACAACAUUAUUUGCUUAAAGCUGAUGAGCUUUGUAUGUCACAUGUAUAUGCUUUGAUCUGCUACCACCAGUCUACAACUUUCCUUUCAAAUUUGGAUUGCCUAAAAUCAGCUAAGAAACAAGAAGGGUCAGUGUUGUUAUCAAGAAAGGCUAAAAUAUAAGGAAAUAUGUUUAUUAAGUCAUCAUGACAGACUGAUGCAGACUGUUAUAGAUGUCUUGUAAGGCUCUAGUCUAAAAUAUUGACAAUUUCUGCUGGAUCCACUCUGUAUUUACUUUUUUUAUACAUAACUGCUUUACACUUCAAGCAAACCACUUCCCAAACCUUAAAGAGAAUAUUUUAAUCACAGUUGGCAAAUAGUGAGCUUCAGUUAGUACUACAAAAUGUAUAGGGUAUAUGGCCAAAAUGCAAUAAAGGUAGAUAUAUAUCAAAAUUAGAGAGUAUUCUAUGCAGAGAGAAAUUGCUUAACAGACGUCAUAGACUUGUUACUCUGUGUUGAUAAAAUAGCCCUGAUUCAGCGAAGCACUUAAGCAUGAGCUUAAUUUUAAGUUUAUUAGUAGCCCUUUAGCGUUAAACUCAUGCUUAAAUACUUUGCUGAGGAAGUUUUGAUGGUCACCAGGGCAUUACCAAAUGCAGAAAACAUGACAAAAUGACAGUGUGUUAGCCAGGUAUAAGUAGACAGUCAGAAAGCGGAUACUGCCUGUGCAUGCUGCCAGGUUAAUAAACCAAUACAAAAGAAGGGCACUUUUAUGUGUCAUGUCCUGAAAGUGUAAGUUUAUUGAUCUGUGUGAGCUAGACAGUCACAAGUACCUAGCUGCUAUAGUCAUUAGUCAGAAUGCUUACAAAUGUGCAUAUGCCACAGGAAUGAGCAUCAUUGGAAAAUUAAAGAAUAUGUUUGCUCAUUGGGGAAUUCCAGAGAAACUAGUUAAACAAUGGUCUACAAUUUACAGAUACAAAUUUCAUGAAAAAAUACAGUUCCCUUCCUAUUACUAUUAGCUCUCAUUACCCUUAAGAGAAUGGAAAAGCUGAAAGAGUUAGGUAGCUAAAGAAAUUUUGUCAGGGAAAGGCAUUCUUAGCUUAAUUAAUUUACAGAGCAAUGCUGAAUGCAAUGACUAAAUUCAAUUCAGCUCUAUUGACACUCAAUAGACAAAUAAAAAUUGUAUAUAGAAUUUGCAUCCUGCAUGGUGAAAGUUUAAAACGUGCUGAUACGAGAACAAUAAGAAAAUAUAAAAAAAGUAAUCUUGACAAGCGCAAUUCUAUGAGAACUUUUCCAAAACUUCAACCAGGAGAUGCAGUAAAAGUCAAAUUGGAUGGAGAAAAAGGUUGGACAUUCUGUUUUCAUUUAUAUUAGUUUAUUAACUAGAAAUUGUGAGAUGCUGUAUACAAUUAACAAAUAUCAAUGUUUGUGUUCCAUCAAUAUUAACAAAAGAUGAUUUUGCACAUAGGACUGGCAGAUAUUCUAUUCCUAUAAAAUUAUUAAAGAACAUAUUACUAGUCAACAACUAAAAACCAACUUCAUUUUAUUUAGAAGUGUUAUCAGAAUAUUUUAUCUGAAAUAACCAAACUUCUUUAAUCAAAUACACUUUUAUUUAAAGCAGAGUAUAGAUAGUAUGUAAUAUACUUAAUUAUUAUAGGACUUGACCUGCAAUCCUUACUCACAUCAGUAGACCACAAGUCCUAAUUCCUACAAAUCUUCCCUUACUGCUUAAUUUUUUUUUCAUAUUUUAACAUCUUUAUAUAUUUCUCCAUCAGUUGAUUGUGUCUGUUCAUCUCUUUGUAGAAUCACUUUAAUAUCCUACACACAAGAAUAUUGAAAACAAAGUUAAAAGGACGUGUCAGGUAACUUUUAGGUCACAAUUAAAACUGUCAUAAAUUACUAAGUAACAAUCUCUGCCUUUCCAGAAGCUGACUAUCCUAUUAAUGAGCAGGAGAUGUAGGUGUGUAACUUGCAUUUUAAUUGGGAUUUAUUCAUGUAAGUCACUUUCCAUAUAUCAAAUAAGAUACUCAACAUAUUCUAUUUAAGAAAACAUUGGCACUGUCCCUGGGCUCAAUAGAAGGCUCAAUGGAAUAUUUUGUGAAGAAAAUUACAGCUUUUUAUAUCAUUUGUAUAAUGCCAAUAUCACAGUUCCAUACUACAGUAACAUGAUAUUAUCAGACCAAACAAUUACAGGUUAACAUGUCAUGAAUUAAAGAAUAAUGGUCUACGAUAGGCAUUAAAUAUUUGUAUUACAGAAUAAACCAGAAGAAAGAAAACUUCUUUUUCAUUAUGGAAUUGUUAUAUGUAUUGUUCCAAAGAAAUCAGUAUAUGGUGUGGUGCUUCAAGCAUGUGAUGGGGAUGUCAAGGAUGGAUUUUAAGUAACCAAAUCCAGGAAAUUCAGUGUUAAGGCUUAAAUCUAACUUCUUAUCUAGGCACUGGAGUGUUCUUGAACCAGUGUGUGUUUUGUACUACAAACGCUACAAUACCUAGAGAAGAGCUUAGGAAAUGGUGGCUGACUUAGAACCUUUCCUUUUGCUGGUUCAAUUUUGACAGUUAAUCUUUGUGAAAAGACUUUCUUCCUUAUUCUAUGUAAUAUGUAAAUAAAACAAUAAAAGAAAGUCCCAUGUUGAUGCCA